rnacentral:misc_RNA from 1 species
GAUGAAGAACGUAGCGAAAUGCGAUAAGUAGUGUGAAUUGCAGAAUUCAGUGAAUCAUCGAAUCUUUGAACGCACAUUGCGCCCCAUGGUAUUCCGGGGGGCAUGCCUGUUCGAGCGUCAUUAUCCAUCCCUCAAACCUCGUGUUUGAUGUUGGGCUUUUCUGAACCGUCACAAGUUUAGAUGCCUCAAAGGUAAUGACGGCGUCCUCGUGGGACUCGACGCACUGAGCUUUUUUGCAAAGGCACGCGUUGUAGGAUCGCGGGUGACCCGGUCUAACUCUUAAAAAAAUUUUUACAAGGUUGACCUCGGAUCAGGUAGGGAUACCCGCUGAACUUAAGCAUAUCAAUAAGCGGAGGA